CAUGUGAAGACAGUAAAACAGACCUAGGCUGGAACCAGCAGCAAGAGAAGUAGUUUUUUUGGAGCCGUGACUGAAAGCUGAAACAUUAUAGACUCCUAAGAACUUUUGAUAGCAGUACAUGAUCUCAUAGUAACCUGCAGAAGGCAACUGGAUAACGCUUUGGACUGGAUAACAACAAUUUCUAGCCUGAAUGAUUUACCCAUGCUAAUGAAGAUGGAAAUGGGCUUUCACAUCCAGCUCUUACAGGGUUUUCCUGUAUGUUGUCUAAAAUGGAUUUUCAUUUUAUCACCGAUGGCAGGAAAUUACCCAGCUCAUAACCAGGAUGGAAUAAACCUACCUAAUCCAGGUGUUCUGGGGCAAAAGGAUCAGACAGGAAACAUCUGAGUCUGACACUCCUGUGGCAUGGAUCACACUGGAACAGCUGGGGCUUCUUAUUCUGCUGGGUAACCCCUGGCUCAGGCCAAACUUCCAUGGGUGGACAAGAAAUAACACAUUACCUUGUGCCUAGCUAAUUUAUUCCUGGAGCAAGUAAUCUUCCAUGGCUGACAGAGGAUAACUUGACCUCACUUCUGAAUUGCCAGCUGUGACUUGUGCAGCUACACAUGCAGUGGGUAGAAGUCCAGCUUCCUUGUUUCACUUUUCCAUGAACUUCCCAGUCUAGGAACUCUGAUUCCUGCAGUUUUCCCACUGGAAUACCACAGAAGAUUAUGUGACUUAGCAUACUUCUGUAGAUAAAACCAGAUCCAGACCAACAGCUCUUUUGAGCUGGCUGAAGCUAGGUCACAUCUUUAAAGCUAUUAGAUAUAUGGCUAGAUGGGCUGACUUGGUUAUUUACCUUUAUAUAUGGAUUAUAUGGAUUUAUAAAUUCUUUAUUAUUUUAUUUAUUAUUUUUAUUUAAUGUAUGGUGUCUGAAGAUUUUCCACAAAAGCCACUGUUAUCCUCAUUUGUAUUCUCCAUUCUUCCAGUAAAACCCUACCAGAUGACAGUGGAGAAAGGAGGAAUUUUCUGAGGUUAUUUCCUGCUAUCUGGAGAUAGGCAAGAAGUUCCAUUAUAUUGCUUCUAUAAGAUCUGCAAUUCCCAGUCACAGGAAUUGCUUGUGUGACUGUUAAGCCCUUUGUGGAUUCAGAUAAGAAGGACAGUGGUUCUCUGGAACAGAUGCGGUGUUUAGGAUGACAUAACAAGUGCUACUACCAACACCCUCAGUGUGUGACUGAACAACUUUUGCAUGUCAUCCUUCUUGGCACCCACAGAGAUGGAGGAUGAGGUUUACUAUUUAACAGCUGUUGGUGACCUUCUCUGCUCACCAAUUUGGAGUCAAUGAUGCUCUAAUACACUUGUUUACCUGGCAGCUGACAUUCUAGAGGCAAAACAAAGUUUGGUCAGUCCCCUGGUCUGGAUUCCAGUGUCUUAAUUAAAUGUUUCUUCAUUGGCCUG